UGGAUGAUGUGGUUUAAUUCGAUGCAACGCGAAAACCUUACCCACCUUUGACAUGUACGGAACCCUUUAGAGAUAGAGGGGUGCUCGAAAGAGAGCCGUAACACAGGUGCUGCAUGGCUGUCGUCAGCUCGUGUCGUGAGAUGUUGGGUUAAGUCCCCGCAACGAGCGCAACCCUUGUCAUUAGUUGCUACAUUCAGUUGGGCACUCUAAUGAGACUGCCGGUGACAAGCCGGAGGAAGGUGGGGAUGACGUCAAGUCCUCAUGGCCCUUAUAGGUGGGGCUACACACGUCAUACAAUGGCUGGUACAAAGGGUUGCCAACCCGCGAGGGGGAGCCAAUCCCAUAAAGCCAGUCGUAGUCCGGAUCGUAGUCUGCAACUCGACUACGUGAAGUCGGAAUCGCUAGUAAUCGUGGAUCAGAAUGUCCACGGUCGAAUACGUUCCGGUCUU
rnacentral:rRNA from 1 species